rnacentral:rRNA from 1 species
CCUUAGUUACUGGGAUAGCCCGAGGAAACUCGGAUUAAUACCGGAUAAUCUUAUUACAUCACAUGAUAUUUUAAGUAAAGGUCAGCCGAACUAAGAUGAGCUCGCGUUCUAUCAGCUUGUUGGUGGGGUAAAAGCCUACCAAGGCUACGACGGAUAGCUGGUCUGAGAGGACGAUCAGCCACACUGGGACUGAGACACGGCCCAGACUCCUACGGGAGGCUGCAGCAGGGAAUAUUGCGCAAUGAGCGAAAGCUUGACGCAGCGACACCGCGUGUGGGAUGACGGUUCUAGGAUUGUAAACCACUUUCAGGAGGGAAGAAAAUGACGGUACCUCCACAAGAAGCCCCGGCCAACUACGUGCCAGCAGCCGCGGUAAUACGUAGGGGGCGAGCGUUGUCCGGAUUUAUUGGGCGUAAAGAGCUCGUAGGCGGUUCAACAAGUCGGUCGUGAAAGUUCAGGGCUUAACCCUGAAAUGUCGAUCGAUACUGUUGUGACUAGGAUAUGGUAGAGGUGAGUGGAAUUCCGAGUGUAGCGGUGAAAUGCGUAGAUAUUCGGAGGAACACCAAUAGCGAAGGCAGCUCACUGGACCACUAUCGACGCUGAGGAGCGAAAGCUAGGGGAGCAAACAGGAUUAGAUACCCUGGUAGUCCUAGCUGUAAACGAUGGAUACUAGAUGUAGGAAUUGGAUUGACGAUUUCUGUAUCGUAGCUAACGCGUUAAGUAUCCCGC